CAUCGGACCAAACACAGCGUAGCAAGGGACGUGGACCUGGGCUUCGGGUGCCGAGCUGGACUGCACCAUCAAGUUGUUGAUCUUGCUAGUUGUGGCGGUGAAUCCAUGGCACAAGCACAAGCAACUUGUGCACCCGCGGCCAACAUGCUACGACACAGCGAGACGAAGACGAAGAUGACGACGACAAUGAAGAGAAGGAGUAGCGCAGAGCUGCAGAACAUGAGGUGUUUAACAAUCGUCACUUAUUGCACUUCGGCAACGUGAUUCCACUGCUGUCUGCCAGGUAUCGUUUACCGGAGAGAAGGUCCCCUCCACUUGGUGAUGUAACUUGUUCCAGGGCUUCGACACGACCGACACUUCCCUCCCACUUCCAACGAGCACAUAGACUUUGUUGGUGAUUGUUGAAGUCGUUUGAAAUCGAUGACUCACGCAAAAAUAAAUAAAUAAAUAAAAAUCCGGUGAAUAGUCUCUGCUAUCAUCCAACUGGUCAAUUAACUGGGGUAGAUACCCUGUCCACGUGUUGAAGCAGCGUUCCAUCUCAUACAUGUGAAUGCAUUCAAUCACGGAUGACCACUUCAAUCGGUGAGGAAGACAACUCGGUCGACUCGGUUUCACUUGUAUUCCAUGCUCAAUCCGCCAGUUUGGCAGCAUAAUGAAUAAAUCACUUUGAGGUGGUGGUACUGGGAGAAUUAUACUGUAUAGUACACUAGUCUCUUAUAUAGAAUACUAUCUACUUUGUAUUGACAUUACACCAAGCUGGUGGUAUUGGGAGAAUUAUACUAUAUAGUACACUAGUCUUCUAUAUAGAAUACUAUCUACUUGUGAAUGCAUUCAAUCACGGAUGACCACUUCAAUCUGUGAGGAAGACAACUCGGUCUACUCGGUUUCACUUGUGUUCCAUGUUCAGUCCGCCAGUUUGGCAGAGUAAUGAAUAAAUCACUUUGAGGUGGUGGUACUUGGAGAAUUA